rfam:Scleropages formosus scaffold22524, whole genome shotgun sequence.
GUUGGUGUCCGUGAUGACUUUUUUUUCCCCGACAGAUCGACCAUGUUGACGGUCAGCAAUUUUAAGCCAAAGUUGUCUGAUAAGGCAUCUGU